rnacentral:rRNA from 1 species
AAAUUGAAGAGUUUGAUCAUGGCUCAGAUUGAACGCUGGCGGCAGGCCUAACACAUGCAAGUCGAACGGUAACAGGAAGCAGCUUGCUGUUUCGCUGACGAGUGGCGGACGGGUGAGUAAUGUCUGGGAAACUGCCUGAUGGAGGGGGAUAACUACUGGAAACGGUAGCUAAUACCGCAUAACGUCGCAAGACCAAAGAGGGGGACCUUCAGGCCUCUUGCCAUC